AUCUGUACAUGAUGUAUCCAUUCGGAUCAAGAGCAUCCAAAAUAGGGAACACUGUCUGUAAAUGAAAUAGAUUAGAUACUUACUGUCCAAUCUGGAUGUACGAGAAGAUCUGUCAUUUCCAAAACUAGAGUAUAUGGUGGCUGGAUAUAUGGAUGUUUCAAUGGAUCAGAAGGAAGCUGAGUCUAUUAGUGAAACCUAGAAUUUACAAGAGGAAAAGAAAGAGGAAAAAAGAGAGGGGAUGGAAUUUUUUCGCCGUGUUCAACACCACAGACUAUCUUUCAGUAGUUCAGCCAUUCGUUAUGUCCAACCGUCGCUAUCGAUGUUGCUGUGUUAAAUUCCGUUGCUGCGCAUCGUAUUGGU